rnacentral:rRNA from 1 species
GCCCGCUCAGAAACUUAAAGGAAUUGACGGGGCCCGCACAAGCGGAGGAGCAUGUGGUUUAAUUCGAUGAUACGCGAGGAACCUUACCUGGGCUCGAACGUAAGAUGACUGUAGGUGAAAGCUUACGUCUCUUCGGAGCAUUUUACGAGGUGCUGCAUGGUUGUCGUCAGCUCGUGCCGUGAGGUGUCGGGUUAAGUCCCAUAACGAGCGCAACCCCUACCUUUAGUUGCCAUCAGGUUAAGCUGGGGACUCUAAAGGAACUGCCUACGCAAGUAGUGAGGAAGGCGGGGAUGACGUCAAAUCAGCACGGCCCUUACGUCCAGGGCUACACACGUGCUACAAUGGCCGAUACAGAGGGCAGCUACCUGGUGACAGGAUGCAAAUCUACCAAAGUCGGUCUCAGUUCGGAUCGGAGUCUGCAACCCGACUCCGUGAAGUUGGAUUCGCUAGUAAUCGCGCAUCAGCCAUGGCGCGGUGAAUACGUUCCCGGGCCUU